AUCAUUUUAUCUGUGAUAAGAUCGACGUCUUUUGCUCGUCUCUGUGGAUAGAAAUUUUGGUUUUUAAUAUAAGGAUGGUGAGAUUCUGCGGCGUCAGUAUAUCGGAGAGAACAGGAUGCGGCGCCGUCGGCAUUUUAAAUCUGGUACUUAACCUGACUAAUUUCAUCGGACAUUUGGUCAUGGCAACGAAAGGUAAAGUUGACAGUUUUAUAAUGU